rnacentral:rRNA from 1 species
CCUACGGGAGGCAGCAGUGGGGAAUAUUGCACAAUGGGGGAAACCCUGAUGCAGCGACGCCGCUUGAGUGAAGAAGUAAUUCGUUACGUAAAGCUCUAUCAGCAGGGAAGAAACACUGACCUUACGGUCAGCAGACGGUACCUGAGUAAGAAGCCCCGGCUAACUACGAGCCAGCAGCCGCGGUAAUACGUAGGGGGCAAGCGUUAUCCGGGUUUACUGGGUGUAAAGGUAGCGUAGACGGUGCGCCACGUCUGGAGGUAAUUGCCGAAGCUUAACUGCGGAACUGCUUGGGAAACUGGCGAACGAUAGUGGUGGAGGGGUAAGCGGAAUGCCGAGGGUAGCGGUGAAAUGCGUAGAUAUUAGGAGGAACACAGGUGGCGAAGGCGGCUUACUGGACCGUAACUGACGUUGAGGCUCGAAAGCGUGGGGAGCAAACAGGAUUAGAUACCCUUGUAGUC